GAUGAACGCUAGCGGCAGGCUUAAUACAUGCAAGUCAAGGGGGUAGCAAUACAACCGGCGCACGGGUGAGUAACGCGUACACAACAUACCAUAUACUGGGGUAUAGCUUUGGGAAACUGAAGGUAAUCCCCCAUAACAUUGCGAGAGGGCAUCUGAUUGCAAUUAAAGUUUCGGCGGUAUAUGAUUGGUGUGCGUUUGAUUAGCUAGUUGGUAGGGUAACGGCCUACCAAGGCGACGAUCAAUAGCUGGCGUGAGAGCGCGACCAGCCACACUGGAACUGAGACACGGUCCAGACUCCUACGGGAGGCAGCAGUAGGGAAUAUUGGACAAUGGGCGCAAGCCUGAUCCAGCCAUGCCGCGUGAUAGAUGAAGGCCCUCUGGGUUGUAAAUAUCUUUUAUCUGGGAAGAAACUCCUCUAUUCUUAGAGGCCUGACGGUACCAGAGGAAUAAGCACCGGCUAAACUCCGUGCCAGCAGCCG
rnacentral:rRNA from 1 species